rnacentral:lncRNA from 1 species
UUCCCUGAAACAAAUCAUACUUUGGGGAUAAUUUCUGGAAGAUCUGCCCUGAAGCUGGAUGGGAGGAAGGUCAAAGCCACCUCCAUUGCAAAGCUGCAGCAGUGACCCCACAAAGGGAACAUCAGUCCCAGAUGGCUUCCAGCACUGGGAAUUCUGAAGACCAGACGGAAAAUAUUCCUCAGUGGAGCCCCAGGAUUUGAGUGACACAACAACAAUAUUCCCUCCAAGCGUGUGGGGCAGCCAGGUGAGAGAGGCUUUGCUGGCACCGCCAGGGAUGCGCUGAUGCUGGCUCCUGGCCCCGGCCGGAGGCUUCGAAGCACACGAUGCUUUCCAAAGUGGGAUUGCACCUGGAGAUUUGCACCUUCUCCAGCCUGGAAGGAGCAGCCAGAAUGGCAGUGCCUUGCUGAGGCUGUGCUACAACAAGUGCCCAGAUCCCAAAAAAUGGAAUAACCCCUUCAAGGCUCCCCUCUGGAUGGGAAAACACUGCUUGGUUCAGCUUUGCAUCAGCACAACUCUUCCCCCAGCACAUCCUUUGGGACAGGCAUGGAGCAGCUCUUUGGGAAGCUCUGUGAACCCCUUGGUUUGUCAUGGCUGCUCCUGGGCAGUGAUGGCACAGGCAGCUUCCCUAAAAGAAAGGUCAGCCACGAGGUCACUCCCUGUGGACCAGAGCUCAGUGCUGCCCAUCUUACCCUUCAUGGAGAACACUGGACAAGAGGAGUUGAGGCCACCACCCUGUCUGCUGUGA